rnacentral:lncRNA from 1 species
AACCUGUUGAUCAUACCGGCGAGCGCGUUUAAAGAUCCUCCGGUGGGAGUUGUCUCUGACCGAUUUCCGGUGGAAGUUGUCUUUGACCGAUUUCCCGAGUCAGCCUCAUUAGCCAUCAUGGAGUUUAUAAAUUCAAACAAAACAGUUUUAUCUCAAAUUUAUCUGAAACCCGUCUUCUUUUGGUCUUAUUUACCCUUACUUCAACUUCUACCAACUAUUUUUACUUCUACCCUACUCCUGACACCAGUUAUAAAGCUCUCCACGCGGCGUCUCCUUGACUGCUCGCGGAUAAGACCGAGGACGACAAAUGUCAGGUGUUGAGCUAAACGUGAUAGUAAGGCGCGUGUGUA